UACGUAGGGGGCAAGCGUUGUCCGGAUUUAUUGGGCGUAAAGAGCGUGUAGGCGGCCAUACAGGUCAGCUGUGAAAACUCGAGGCUCAACCUCGAGACGUCGGUUGAAACCGUAUGGCUAGAGUCCGGAAGAGGAGAGUGGAAUUCCACGUGUAGCAGUGAAAUGCGUAGAGAUGUGGAGGAACACCGAUGGCGAAGGCAGCCCCCUGGGUCAAAACUGACGCUCAUGCACGAAAGCGUGGGGAGCAAACAGG
rnacentral:rRNA from 1 species